rnacentral:rRNA from 1 species
UACGUAGGGAGCAAGCGUUGUCCGGAAUCAUUGGGCGUAAAGCGCGCGUAGGUGGCCCCAUAAGUCCGCUGUGAAAGUCAAAUGCUCAACCUUUGAAAGCCGGUGGAUACUGUGGGACUAGAGUACGGAAGAGGCGAGUGGAAUUCCUGGUGUAGCGGUGGAAUGCGCAGAUAUCAGGAGGAACACCAAUAGCGAAGGCAGCUCGCUGGGACGUUACUGACACUGAGGCGCGAAAGCGUGGGGAGCGAACAGG